GACGAACGCUGGCGGCGUGCCUAAUACAUGCGAGUAGAACGCUGAAGGAGGAGCUUGCUUCUCUGGAUGAGUUGCGAACGGGUGAGUAACGCGUAGGUAACCUGCCUGGUAGCGGGGGAUAACUAUUGGAAACGAUAGCUAAUACCGCAUAAGAGUAGAUGUUGCAUGACAUUUGCUUAAAAGGUGCAAUUGCAUCACUACCAGAUGGACCUGCGUUGUAUUAGCUAGUUGGUGAGGUAACGGCUCACCAAGGCGACGAUACAUAGCCGACCUGAGAGGGUGAUCGGCCACACUGGGACUGAGACACGGCCCAGACUCCUACGGGAGGCAGCAGUAGGGAAUCUUCGGCAAUGGACGGAAGUCUGACCGAGCAACGCCGCGUGAGUGAAGAAGGUUUUCGGAUCGUAAAGCUCUGUUGUAAGAGAAGAACGAGUGUGAGAGUGGAAAGUUCACACUGUGACGGUAUCUUACCAGAAAGGGACGGCUAACUACGUG
rnacentral:rRNA from 1 species